CGAAGUUGACCCUGAUUGGGCACUGUAGCAGGGCGGGCGCCCAGGAGAGUAGGGCGGGCGCCCUGCCUCCGAGCCCGAUCGCCUUCCCGUUCGUUCCCGUGGCUUCUGGAGUCUUCUAGAUGGUAGAAAAUUACGCGGCACGUUAAUAUCUCUAUGUAAUCCCGACAUGUGGGCCUUUCUUCCAUAUUUCCUGAUAACCCCCUGCAGAAAUAGACAAACACCAAAACUCGUGGAAUUCUGUCAGAUAAAACCCUAAGUCUAGGUGUUGGUUGCAUUUGGAUCCUUUUCCAUGAUUAGUUGAUGGUUAAAUAUGAGCAUUAAGGACCGUCAACACUCAUGAUUAACAACAUUAGGAAUGUUACAAUGGGUGCCUCCCCCUGGUCGCCUCCAACCCUCCACUUCUCCUUUAUAUUCCACGCAGCCGCUACUGUUUAGACUUGGGUUUUGUUUUAGAGUUUAGUUUUCCAUCGAGAAACUGAAUUGUUCAUUGUAACUGUAGUGAUAAAUCCUUUUGUAGUGAUCCAGGGCCCCCGUUCUUGAUCUCCUCCACUGUGUCGAUUAGUCCUUUGGAACCGAGUUCUUGAACCCUCAUUUGACUAUUCGCGUCAUUCAUAUCUGCAAUUUCAGAUUGCGUGUUUAUACUUUCUUGCUUGUGUUCUUCGAUUCGCUUGCAGGAAAAGCCUUUUUGGUGAGGUCAAUCAAGUUGUGCUUGGUUGAUAACCAACAGUUGCAGAGUUCGAAUCAUGCUGAUUUGAAGCCGGAUCGCCAAUGUCGAGUUCUUCACAAUCGAAUUUACCAAUUACCUCUCGGAAGAUUGGGCCUGAACCUCAUUAAUUGGUAUCAGAUAUCUCAGGUUUACCAUGAGGUAUAAUCUCGUUUGCCCUAGAUUCAUAUUUGUUCAUUACCUACAGUCCAUAAAAAGCCCAAAAAAUAGUUUAAUUUUCCAUUGUCCUAUCACCCAUUGUGCCUUGCAAUUUUGUUUUCAGAUUUGCUUUGUUGAGUUUGUGUCCGUGGUUGAGUCUAGUUGCUGGUUUUGAUUGUGUUCAUCGCCGUAGUUCAUUUGCACCAUUGUUGUUCUUAGUUUCCGCCGCUAUCCCACCACCGUUUCCAAAUAACAAGUCGAACCCACCACAUUACUUGACUUGCCUCCGCUAGCCUCCUUACGUGAUCUCUCGCCGCCGCGCUAACCCUAGAUAGGCUGCCAACCACUGUUAUUUUGCCUUCGCAGUCCUCCUUACAUCAUCAGGCGAAUACCUACUGCUGUUAGUCACAGGGACAAUUCAUCUUGUGAUCGGUGUUGGAGUUUAGGGACGCUUUGCCCUAAUUGCCGCCGCCGCCGUCGACACCGUGUUGUGCCUUCUGAAAAAACAUAACUUGAGAUACCUUCGGUAAAACAAGCAUAACUUUUCGUUCGUUUAUCAAAAAAAAUCUGAAAUUUUUACAGCAGUUUCUUGACACCAUUUGGACCCGACCCAAACUCGGCGAAGCCCUUUUUGGUCUCAUCAAAAUUGCCAAAACAAUUCAGGAAAAUAAAUAAAAAAAUGGACAAGGGUUCUGCACGCUUUUCAGAGAACUUACUAAUUUCUGUAGACCACAUCUGUCCUCAGUUGUAGUUGCCAAUUUUUGUGGUUACAUCUUUUGUGAUCCUUGUUCAGAUAAAAAUACAAAAAAAUAGUGAAAAAUUAAAAAAUCUUGAUUCCUAGUAGUGCCUUUUGGGAAAAUCCAGGAAAAAUCAGGAUAAAAAAAUCUGCUCUAUUGCUUGUUCGCUGAGUUCCUUCCAUCAUACUUUGUUUCACCUUGUUGCGCUACGUCUAGACACGUCUUAGCCAGUAAUUAUGAUUUAUCCUUUGAUACUUAUUGAACUUAGCUAACUCUGCAUUCGAAUAUUGCUAAUCCUUGCUACUUAAAUUGUGCCUGUCCAAACCUCCACAUAUACUUUUGUCAGCACAGGUUCAUCUUGCAACUGUUUACCCAUGCUCAACAACAUAUUACUUUGCCAAUUUGGUUUUGCUCCUAUUUGGCUUUGGUAAGAACAAUUGUAAGACGGUGGUAAGCCGCUUCUGAUUUU
rnacentral:lncRNA from 1 species